GUAAGAUAUGACUUGCUCCUCUUUGCCUUCUGCCAUGAUUAUGAGGCCUCUGCAGCCAUGUGGAACUUGAUGUCCAAAGAGAAGGGAGGAGGAAGGAUGAAAGGAAAGACAGAGGAGGAAGGAAGAGAAGAAAGAAGAGUGGCCGGCACAAGGGCUUGGAGAUCCCUGAAGCUGUUUUCCUUUCUCCUCACCCCCACAGGGAGGGAUCCACAUCGUUGUGGGGUUUUUGUUGUUGUUGUUUUUGUUUUUGUUUUUUUGCCUCCCUUCAUCAAAGCAUUCAUUGUAGUGUAUGGUAAUUGUCUCUGAAUGUAACAGCCUCUCUUCCCUGAGGCCUGGGUCUGCUUGUUUCAUACCAUCUUCUCCUUAACACACAGUGCUUGGUAAACAAUACCUAUUAAUAAACAUUUGUUGAAUGAAUGAAUGAGUGAAUGAACGAAUACUGCACUCUUUCGACUUGGUUAGAGACAUGUCUUGUAGGCUGGCAUGUACUUCACACAGCACUCUUAGGUAGAGUUUGUAUAUGUUAUUCCAUUGAAGGGAAAAGGAAGCCAGACUGUGGGGAGAAAAAAAAAAAAAAAAGACAUUCUGAAGAAGUAAAAACUACCCUUGUGGGUUUCAAAAAUGUCUGGGCUAUUAUGCCUGAAGCUGAAACAUCAGGUCAUAUUUACUUUUUCUUUUCUA
rnacentral:lncRNA from 1 species